GGUGCUAUAGUGUAGUGGUUAUCACUCGGGAUUUUGACUACGACUUUCCCGAAACCCAGGUUCGAACCCUGGUAGCACCU
rnacentral:tRNA from 1 species